rnacentral:rRNA from 1 species
AUUGAACGCUGCGGCAUGCCUAACACAUGCAAGUCAACGGCAGCACAGCAGUAGCAAUACGUGUGGGUGGCGAGUGGCGGACGGGUGAGGAAUACGUCGGAAUCUGCCCAGUCGUGGGGGAUAACUAGCCGAAAGGUUAGCUAAUACCGCAUACGACCGAGAGGUGAAAGCGGGGGACCGCAAGGCCUCGCGCGAUUGGAUGAGCCGACGUCGGAUUAGCUAGUUGGCGGGGUAAAGGCCCACCAAGGCGACGAUCCGUAGCUGGUCUGAGAGGAUGAUCAGCCACACUGGAACUGAGACACGGUCCAGACUCCUACGGGAGGCAGCAGUGGGGAAUAUUGGACAAUGGGCGCAAGCCUGAUCCAGCAAUGCCGCGUGUGUGAAGAAGGCCUUCGGGUUGUAAAGCACUUUUAUCAGGAACGAAAAGCGUUGGAUUAAUACUCUGACGUGCUGACGGUACCUGAGGAAUAAGCACCGGCUAACUUCGUG